UACGGGGGGAGCAAGCGUUGUUCGGAUUUACUGGGCGUAAAGGGCGCGUAGGCGGCCACCGCAAGUCGGUUGUGAAAUCUUCGGGCUUAACCCGGAAAGGUCAAUCGAUACUGCGGGGCUAGAGUGCAGAAGGGGCAACUGGAAUUCUCGGUGUAGCGGUGAAAUGCGUAGAUAUCGAGAGGAACACCUGCGGCGAAGGCGGGUUGCUGGGCUGACACUGACGCUGAAGCGCGAAAGCUAGGGGAGCGAACGGG
rnacentral:rRNA from 1 species